AUCCAAAAUCAAAACUUGUCAUUAACACAAAUUAAUUUUAUUAUUUUUUUUGCGUGCGUCGCUCAUUUUCUUUUCAAAAAUUGUCGCAUGUUUUUCUCACUGUGUUUGUUUCGCUUCGUUUUUUGAACGUUUUCUGUUUAUUUGCGUGAAAUUUUGUAUACGAAAUUUACACAGUGAGAUCGCAAAGCAAAUCGCUUUUCGCUAAUCGUACUUGAACUAAUAUAAAAAAAAUUGUUGUCCGUGUGCCAAAAUAAUAUUUAUUAGAAUAAAAAUAGUCUCUUCGAAGAAUAAAUAGAUUUUGCAAAAAAUGUAAAUACAAACGAAGAAAAAAACUCAAUUUUUUUUUAACGAAAUUUCAAUUUUCAAAAUUUAUUGUGUUUAUUGGAACCUUUUCGAAGAGAGUGCAACGUGAGAUUGUGUAUAUUCACUGAGUUGUCGCAUUUUAGAUUUCGUGUAACUUUCAUGUUCGAUUAGCAUGCACAUCGGUGCGCAGGUGAAGGCAUCAUUCCCUGUUUUAGUGCCACAGUGUUGCAAAAACCACCGAAUCGACAGCGCCGCAUCAGUCUGUUUAGUACUUUGGAUCGCUUUGCCGCGCUCGCGUUUCGAUAAGACGUCAACAGAUACUGUUUCGGCUGCGUUUUUUAGAAAAUUUUUUGUUGAUCUUCGUCUUCUUGUAGUAUCGGUAGUACACACGAAGGCUCAGCUGUGAUAUAAUUUAACAAAUUUGAAGAAAGUGUAGUUUUUUAGUGCAAAAAUUAAAAUAAUACUAAUCCAGUGCUAUAAUAAAAAUUGUGUAAUAAAUAGCCAUAAAUAGUAUAUAUCGUGAUAUUGAGCGCUCUAUAUAGCAUAAUAGUGUAUAGUAAACGUCACCAAAGUGACGGCACUUAUCGUUUCUUUUUUUUGCUCACACUCGUCGCCCUUCCGUGGCCUUACAACAACGAAAAUUGCUCAAGAAAAGACGCGUCUACCCUUUCCCAUACCACGGUACACCACCAUGAACAAGACGACUCUACACUGGAGUUAUCUCAACUUCAAAGAUGUGCCUAUGGAUCUCUACCUCUAUGAGGACCUCGAAGAGGUGUACUUGAAGGAGAACUUCAUCACCACAAUUCCCAAAUGGCUGCUGAAUGUAACAACUCUCAAGUUCAUACACUUGGCUGGUAAUAAUUUGAGCGCUAUACCCGAGGAGAUGUAUCUGCUGGAAAAUCUGGAAUUUCUCGAUGUCUCAAAUAAUCAAAUACGCGAACUUCCGAAAACUGUUGGACUGAUGGACCGUUUGCAACGUUUGAAUGUGAGUGGCAACGAGCUGACAGAGUUGCCCGCCGCUUCAGAUCUUAUGAAACCGGGCCAUGGCAUAGUCGUCACCGACGAAUCUCCAUCACAGUUGGAUCGUUUAAUGGAAUUAUUUGGUAUGAAUUCCUCAAAAGAUAUGCGCAUACAGUACCGUAGCCUAUUAUUCUCCGUUAAGGGAGAAUUCGACGAGUACGUGUCUGGUGUGGCUGUGCACCCGGAGGUAUUGGAUCAAACCACAGCCAACGGUUGUGCACUACACUGUCAGUUGCGGCGUAAGAAUGUACUGGUUGGUGUCACGGUGGAUAGAGGGCUUGUGCCGUUACUAUGUACCUAUGGAGAGUACACCACGCAGGGACUAGAUGGUUUGGCUGACCGGUGUGCCGAAUAUAAGGAUUGCGGUUGUGAUUUCACCAUGUGGCGCGCACAGUUCAAUAUUGGCGAGUAUUCGCCUUCCUACCAGGCCAUAAUGGAUAAUGCAAGUAACUUGGCCAAAUUCGCCGCCAUCUCACAAUCGAAACGCAUGCUGCCGAUCUUAGAAGUGGAUGUAGUGCCCUCGGAUGACAAUGAUAUGGAACGUGCCGAAAAAGUCGCGGAGACAAUUUUAAUAUUUAUUUAUAAGUCACUUUGCGAUCAUCAUGUCAAUCUUGAGGGCACUUUACUAAAAUUCCCAGCAUUAAAUCCGGGUCCAAAGUGCGCCAAACGAUACUCGCCGGGUCAGAUUUCAAAAGCAACAUUACGCUUACUGAGACACGUCGUGCCUGCUUCGGUCAGUGGUAUAAUUUUGCAUGUUGAUGGCAAGACGGAAGAUAAGAGUCUGUGUCUGCUAAACACCAUAGUAAGUGACCCAUCGCCGAAACCGUGGCCCAUAAUAUACAGCUUCGAUGGCAUAUUACAGUCAUCAAUUAUGAUGGCUUGGGGAGGUCAAACCAAGAACACGCAGAAGGCACAGCAAGAGUUUCUAAAAAUGCUGGAAGCAUUCUCCAAGGCUGCCCAAGGCGCUUAUGUACCCGGUUCGAUGAAAUCUCUAGCCGAUCAGUGUUACUGUAAAAAAGUUUUUAAAGCUUUGAAAACGAAACCUGAUCCGCUACCAGAUGAUUGUGUUAGAUAUGAUGAAAUAUGUCGACCCCCCAAUCUAACGCCGAACGAUAUGAUGCCAGUACCUGUUGCAACUGGAGAGUCAGCCGUAGUUGUCACAAUCGCAGCAAUUAAAACGGAUGAAACCGUAUUGGCGCUAGGAGCUAUAACUGAGAUAGACGAGGCCGCUCCCGCACCUGAAGGAAAGGAAGACCCUCCAACUGAGCCAACAGAGAAACCACCAUCAGUUAGUCAGUAGAACUACAGUACAAAAUGAUAUACUUUACAAAAGUUAUGGAUAAGGGAAAUAUAACCAUUUCGUCGAAAUUCCACUAUUGGAACAAGGACCACCAGCCUAUUUAUCAAUACAUAAAUGAAAUUAAUUUAGAAAAUUUUAGUCUCACCGUCCCACAAACUAUGGGAAUGGAAUAUGUUGGAAUGAAGUUAUAUUAGAUAGAACCACCACAAUUCUGUUUACAAUUUUGAUUCCACAUGGAUAGCUAAAACUCCAUCGUCCUCAUUUUGACGAAUCGAAAUAUGGGCACGUCCAUCGGAGCCCACCACAACUGAUUUUCCUGUACAUGAUGAACCAGACUUUUCUCCGGAGAUGAUGUCACAGUAGGUGCCGGCCGGUAGGCAGGUCUGCAAGGAGGUGUUCAAAUCGUAGUUAUCAUUGUUGAACGCUAUGAAGGCCUUAUUGCCACGACAGAAGGCGAUUUGACUGCUGCCAUUGUCCCACCAGUUCUGCAAAUUUGUACCGGAGGCGAUGUUUCUGAAGCCAGCCAUGUUGGCAAUUUGCCGCCAACGAUGUUCACAAACCCAACCACCACUGCAGGAAUUAUCAGCGUUGAUACGAGGACUAGCAAUGUUGUUACCAUCGGUUGUUGGUGGACCUUGAUCGGAGUUGUCGAAAGCAAACGAAGACAUGACACGAGGAAUACCGAAUGGAUGAGCCAACAUGAAGGCAUUGGCCAUUUUGUAUUGUUUGCCAUUUUUGUAGGUGAGAAUAUCACCACCUCCGGCACCAUGUCCACGUUGAUUAUCGUGAUUGUCCACAAACACAAAUGCACUGGUCGAGGAGAGGAAACCCCAUUCCGGACCCCAAUUGGUUAGCCAGCGUAGUUGAUCGUGACCUCUGAAGGAUCUACCAAUUGCAGCGGAAUGACGGAAUUCGGUUACCACACCCAAGUCAGUGUAUUCGUAUUUGGAUAUUGCUUCGCCACCCAAAUCUAUGACCUCUUGGUAAAUAAAUGGACGAGAACCACCAGCGAAACCGUGUUCCGUAUUCAAGUUAUUCAAACGGUUAUAGAUGUUCUGAAAUUAUUCUGUUUUAGACCAACUGUAUACCAUUUCAGGUUUUCAUGUUCUAAUUACCUUUAAAUCGGAUGGCCACAUGUGUUUGGCGGCAUCAACUCGGAAACCAGCAACACCCAAAUUGAUCAGUUUGUUGAGGAAAUCAAGAAUCCGAUCUUGCACCCACGAUUUACUUUGAUCAAGAUCUUUCAAACCAACCAACUCGCAGUUACGGACUUGAUUAGCAUCGUUGUAGUUGUUGAUGGCACAGGUGGCAUGGAAAUCAGUGCUGGAGAAGGGAACCGCGGGAUAACUCUUGCUACCGGGAUUAGCUGUUGAGCCUGCAGUUCCACGGACGUUGGAAUGAUCAGCGGCCAUAUGGUUGAAAACCACAUCCACAUAGAUACGAACUCCGGCGUUGUUACAACGUCUCACCAUAUUAGCAAACUGUUGCUCGUUACCCGAACGAGUAGUCAACAGAAAUUGGUGCAUUGAAACAGCUCGAAGAGCUCAACAUAUCCAAGAAUCACAUUCAACGACUGCCUAUACAGUUAAGCGAGUGCCAGCGCUUAAACGUGCUUAACCUCAGUGACAAUGC